rnacentral:rRNA from 1 species
UGAUUCGGGCUCCGGCCCGAUCCUCCCACCCUUUGUGUACCCACCUCUGUUGCUUUGGCGGGCCGCGGUCCUCCGCGGCCGCCCUCCGUCCGGGGGGUGGCCAGCGCCCGCCAGAGGACCAUCGAACUCCGGUCAGUGAACGUUGCCGUCUGAAAAACAAUCAAUAAACUAAAACUUUCAACAACGGAUCUCUUGGUUCUGGCAUCGAUGAAGAACGCAGCGAAAUGCGAUAAGUAAUGUGAAUUGCAGAAUUCAGUGAAUCAUCGAAUCUUUGAACGCACAUUGCGCCCCUCGGUAUUCCGAGGGGCAUGCCUGUUCGAGCGUCAUUACAACCCUCAAGCUCUGCUUGGUGUUGGGCACCGCCCUUCCGCGGGCGCGCCUCAAAGACCUCGGCGGUGGCGUCUUGCCUCGAGCGUAGUAGAAAACACCUCGCUUUGGAGCGCACGGCGCCGCCCGCCGGACGAACCUUUUGAACUUUCUCAAGGUUGACCUCGGAUCAGGUAG